GGGCCAUAGCUUAGUGGUAGAGCACCUCAUCUGCACACAAAAGGAUCUAGGUUCAAUUCAUGGCAUCUCCA